AGUGGGCAACAAGAGGCUCUGCGACGCCCGCCUGGAGGAGCCGCGGAGGCUGCCCCGGAGGACGGGCGCGCCGCCGCCGACGACGCUGGACCCCGCCCGGGAGGCCCGCCUGCUCCCGGCGCCGGCCCCCGAAGGCAGCCUCUCUGCGCCCACCCAGAAGAUGGUCGUCAAAAGUGAGCAGGGCGUCCUUCGGGGCGCAAAGCCUCGCCUACGCCUGGCGGCUUUUCCUUGCUGGAGCCCGGCCUGCCCUGAAAGAGUCCCCGCCCCGCGCUUGGCAUCGGCUCCUUGGGAGUGGGGAGCCAGUGGCUUGAGAUCUCCCGGAAUCACAACUGAUCUCCAGGUGAAAGAGAGCCGUUGCCCUGGAGAAGACGGCUGCUUUGGGAGAUGGACUGCACGAUACUGUACCACACUGAGGUGGCUCCCCUUCCUAAAUCGCAUCCUCUCCAAGGCUCCAACCCCAAAUCUCCAGUGACUCUGGACUGCCUCGGUGGUUUCCUGUCCUAGAACGAACAAGGCCUUCGCUUCCGAGAGAUGGCAGGAUCGAGCUAACCUGGAAUAUCCAGAUGUCUUUAAUGGGACUGUAACCUUUUUGCCAUUGGAGCAACUCCAUGAAGGAAAAUAGAAGAUCAAGAAUUGCAUCAUUUAUCAAAUUCAACUUCUGCACACAAAACACAACAUACCUUCUUGGAUACUGUAUUUCAUGAGCCAAGUUGGAGACUCCUUCAGGGUGUCAUGAUUCUGGGCCUGUAGGCCUCAAGGAAGCUUAGGAAUCUGUCUAGAACAGUGAAUUUUCAGGCCUAAUGAGAGCAUUUGGCUUGGACUCUUGAGACCUAGCAGGUAAAGUUUUGGCCAUGCUCUUUUGGACAGCAGCGAACAGCCUAGUUAAUUAAGUGCAGCUGUCUCUUGUGCUUAGACUGGUUGGCCUUGAGAGACAGAGAGCCUCAGAUACUGCACAUCCUCUGUCUUAGUUCUGAGGCUGGCAAUCUUGAUAUCAAAGUGAGUUCUGAUUGCCCGACAUAGUUUUAAAAGGUGUAUCUUCAUUGUGGGUUUUUUUAGCGGUCCUUUUUUUCUCUCACUCGCUCUCUCUCACCUCCUGUUACAGCAUGUCUUACUGGCAUGUUGGAGAGUUUGUGCCCUGCCAGGUUUCAAAUGAGUAGUGCUGCCUGGCAUGAGCUAUGGACAAGUGUUGUGAGUAUGAGCACUCGAACUUCAUCAGAGAAAGCAAGAUAGUUUGUCAUGUGUCUAGUCAGUCAGGUUUUAGUCAGAAUAGAAUAAGUUGUUUGUUGUUUUAUAUGCCUUUGUUUGGGCCUUUGGAGUGGUUACUGCAAACUUGCAAACACUCUCUUAAGUCAAUAAACGACGACUACAUUUA